CAGUAGCCGCGGGAAUACGAAGGGGGCUAGCGUUGUUCGGAUUUACUGGGCGUAAAGCGCACGUAGGCGGACUUUUAAGUCAGGGGUGAAAUCCCGGGGCUCAACCCCGGAACUGCCUUUGAUACUGGGAGUCUUGAGUUCGAGAGAGGUGAGUGGAAUUGCGAGUGUAGAGGUGAAAUUCGUAGAUAUUCGCAGGAACACCAGUGGCGAAGGCGGCUCACUGGCUCGAUACUGACGCUGAGGUGCGAAAGCGUGGGAAGCAAACAGGAUUAGAUACCCCGGUAGUCCCUGUCUCUUAUAC
rnacentral:rRNA from 1 species